AGCCUAAACCCGUCAAGAUUCUCUUGCCGGGCAUGGCGAAGGCAGCCGCUACAGUGCAAAAAACUCCUCGUCCGGAGUCACUGUAGCGGUCGUACCCUCGAAAGAGGGCACGGGUCAGGCUGAAAGGUCUGAUC
rnacentral:sRNA from 12 species